GAUGAACGCUGGCGGCGCGCCUAACACAUGCAAGUCGAACGGCACCUAUCUUCGGGUAGAAGCGAGUGGCGAACGGCUGAGUAACACGUGGAGAACCUGCCCCCUCCCCCGGGAUAGCCGCCCGAAAGGACGGGUAAUACCGGAUACCCCGGGGUGCCGCAUGGCACCCCGGCUAAAGCCCCGACGGGAGGGGAUGGCUCCGCGGCCCAUCAGGUAGACGGCGGGGUGACGGCCCACCGUGCCGACAACGGGUAGCCGGGUUGAGAGACCGACCGGCCAGAUUGGGACUGAGACACGGCCCAGACUCCUACGGGAGGCAGCAGUGGGGAAUCUUGCGCAAUGGGGGGAACCCUGACGCAGCGACGCCGCGUGCGGGACGGAGGCCUUCGGGUCGUAAACCGCUUUCAGCAGGGAAGAGUCAAGACUGUACCUGCAGA
rnacentral:rRNA from 1 species